CUAUGAUUUGCCGGCCUAGUGAAAAGGCCAUAAUGUUAACAGCACCUGGCCCACUUAAUCGAAGGCGUUGUAAUGGGCCUAGAAGUAAGUCCAUCCAGCCCACGGAUUACAGCAAGCGCUUCAAAGCGCCGCCGCGUCGUCUCCACGCCUCGGGCCUAGGGCACGCGCCGACUCGCCGCCGGGGAGACCGGGCGGCCGGCGAAUCCCCCACCCCAAAACGGAGGCGAAAUUUAGCACGGGCUGUGCGCGGUCGAGCGUCCCCGGACUCAUCGGCGUGGAGAGACGAGGACGCCGCGCGCGGCGCGGCAGGUUAGAUUUGGAUCCGCGCCUGCCGGGGGAUCAGACGAGAAUCGGUUGCAUCUGCCACUGCAUUCUUGCAGCCAGGGUGCAUCCCGUCGGGGCAAUUGCAGGCGAACUCCAGGUCGUCGCUGUACGUGCAAUUCCCGCCGCUUACUUGACAUUUGGGACAAUCCCCUGAAACCACCGCCCACUCUAGUAGAAACCCACUCCUCAUGCUGGCAAUAUAGCCGGCCAUACUCCCAUUGUGACGCUGAACGAUCGGCACAACCGUGAAGUUACAGCCCGGUGGAAUCCCAUCCUCGUGUAAAUGGUGGUCGCUGACGAGCCGGACGGAGGAGUUUUGGUCAUCACAAGGCAGGCUAUGGAAGCCGGGAGGAGCAGCCGCCGCCGGAAGUGACUUGUUACACGAGAGGAAGCGCAGCUCUGCGUUGGCUUCGCUGAUGACGAACGGCGCCUGCCAGAUGCCAUCGGAGAUGUUGAACGGCGGCGCCGGGCAGCCGGUGGCGAGCGGGAGAUUCUCGUCCACCACAUGGACGGUGUGGUUUCCGGUGAAGAUAUCAACAACGCGAUACGCCUCGUAGAUGGUGUGCGUGAGGUAUGCGCCGGUGGCGUUGCACUUGAGCUGGAAGGGCGGCGACCCGCACGGCGGCCGGCCGGGCUCCUCCAGCCAGAACGGGUAGGAGAUGGUCAGCUUGCCGCAUGGCGUGGGCAAGCAGCCAGGACUAGACGAGCUCGCCGGUGCCGGCAACUCGAGGAAGGAAGCUACCAGCAGUAGCAGUAUGAGCGGAGGCAUAUCUGGUGGACUUGGGUACGCAAAUCAACUACGGAAUGCAGUGGUGAAAUGGAUUAUAUGAGAGAGAAGAAGGGGACGAGAGAUCGAGGGAUGGGAUAUGAGGCGUGGGGCAAAAGGACGGUGGCGAAGCGGUUUUGACCGGUCAAAGUCUACGGAUUGAACAUACUGCUACAUUGCUACUACUCUCUCUGCUGCUACAGCUUCUUGACGAAGUACUCCGUACUAUUUUCUCCGUUUCAUCACUAUAGUAUUUUUCACGUUUAUAUUGAUGUUAAUAAAUCUAGAUAGGUAUAUAUGUCUAGAUUAAUUAACAUCAAUAUUAACGUAAGAAACGCUAAAAUGAUUUACAUCGUGAAACGAAGGGAGUAUAGUUUUUGCA